AUUGAACGCUGGCGGCAUGCCUUACACAUGCAAGUCGAACGGCAGCACGGGAGCAAUCCUGGUGGCGAGUGGCGAACGGGUGAGUAAUAUAUCGGAACGUGCCCAGUCGUGGGGGAUAACGCAGCGAAAGCUGUGCUAAUACCGCAUACGAUCUACGGAUGAAAGCGGGGGAUCGCAAGACUUCGCGCGAUUGGAGCGGCCGAUAUCAGAUUAGCUAGUUGGUGAGGUAAAGGCUCACCAAGGCGACGAUCUGUAGCUGGUCUGAGAGGACGACCAGCCACACUGGAACUGAGACACGGUCCAGACUCCUACGGGAGGCAGCAGUGGGGAAUUUUGGACAAUGGGCGCAAGCCUGAUCCAGCAAUGCCGCGUGCAGGAUGAAGGCCUUCGGGUUGUAAACUGCUUUUGUACGGAACGAAACGGCGAGCUCUAAUACAGUUUGCUAAUGACGGUACCGUAAGGAUAAGCACCGGCUAACUACGUGCCAGCCGCCGCAGUAACAC
rnacentral:rRNA from 1 species